UACGUAGGCAGCGAGCGUUGUUCGGAAUUACUGGGCGUAAAGAGUGUGUAGGCGGUCCUCUAAGUUCGGUGUGAAAUCUCCCGGCUUAACUGGGAGGGUGCGCCGGAAACUGGAGUGCUCGAGCGUGGGAGAGGAAAGCGGAAUUCCUGGUGUAGCGGUGAAAUGCGUAGAUAUCAGGAGGAACACCUGCGGUGUAGACGGCUUUCUGGACCAUUGCUGACGCUGAGACACGAAAGCGUGGGUAGCAAACAGG
rnacentral:rRNA from 1 species